rnacentral:rRNA from 1 species
UCUUAGCCGCCGUGAGGGGCUACCGAUGUUGAGAGAAAGGAGGAGGCGAAGGGAGGUUUCGCUUGGUUUUAAGUUGGGCUCCUUAGGGAUUUCUUCGCUUGGACUGGCUAUUAGGAUCGCGUCUUUCGAGUCGCGGCUCUUCGCUUUGGGCUUAGCUUCGUCACGCGCUACCCUUAGGGUUAGGCUAGGGAGGAGCAGCGGAGAGAGCAGGACUCAAGCUAGCGGGACGUACAGCGCCGGUUUUGGAACCUAGGGAUGUUCCAAGAACCCCAACUGUUCUUACGGUCGGUUUCCCUAUAAUUCUUUCGAAAAGUGUUCGAAAGCGAUUUUAUAGUAGGACUGUUCUUAUUUCUCUUCCCACGUGUCGUCUUUAAACUUCUCUAUUUAUUACGCGUACUUUAAAACAGUCUACUUCUCUUCUCCUUUUUGAUACUAGAGAUGCCACUACUCUUCCCAUUGGGUCCAUACCCACGACCUUUAAAACCCUCGGUACUGAAGUGACCACCACCGGGGUCCUGAUGGAUAAAGAGUAGGCCACUACCUACCGUCUGUUACCCACCAGUCCCUUUAAGUUUUUGUAAGAGGAAGAGCAAACCACCGUUGGGACCCCGACCGCCUCCUUUAGGCAAACCGAAACUAGAACCACUACAAAAGAGGUUGUACAAACGACCACCUAGUUACCCACCAUCGGUCGUACCACCUAAACGACCAAGACCAUCUGGGUCGCGCUCUUGAAGGUCAGUCGUAUGUUUGGGACAGUGGUAAGUCCUCCAAUGCUACGUUUGUAAGUUGUUUCUUUAUCGACUGGUUCCUUAUUGAACCGAAGACGAUAAGAUAUGUGUUGUUCGUUUUCCAGUUAAACACGAACUUUCACAAGACCUCCUACACCGAGCAAGCAACCUACCACGUCACUCCCGACCGUUCCAUUUAACACUAUUACUUUUCCGGGAAACGUUCUUUUUGCCCCAAAGUCAUCCUUUUAGGCGAGCAGAGAAGUAAAUAAGCAUGUCGUGACGUCUCUUUCCCAGAAACGUACUCAUGAGACCUCUAUCACUACGAUUCUCGGACUUCUGUAAGACAGUUCUUGUGGACGGCUCUAAGAGGUCUGCCCAACUGUAAUGGGUUAAGUUAAAGGGAAGGUCACGGAACGGUUUGGAAGGACUUCACGAAAACGACAGUUGUUUCUUCCUAUGUGGUCGCUACACCGCUCGUCAGUCACCCUACAAGGUGUCAGCAAACUAUAAGAUACUACGUCUCCAAGUCCUACAAAGGGAAGGUGACGAGUUUGCGGAACCGCACUUCUUACAAGGUCGCGAACAACCAGCUUGCCAAUUGCCACUCCACGUUGAAGACUUCCUACCAUAAAGUCACUUUCUAGAGGUUAGACCAUAGUUCCUUAACUUCUGAGACGAUCUUUCAAAACUCUUCUUCUUGUUCUUCGAUCGUAGCCUUGUCCGAUUCUUUGGACGGUUCCGUUCACUUGGCUUCCUUUUGUUUUAGGGAGAGGAGUGGCGGAGUUUAAAGCUCCUUUGGACACCUCUCUUCCGAGGUCAUACGUAGUAACCACAAAAGUUCAGGUUGUUUCGGUUCCUUUUCGACCUCUCGUAGGACAGACUCUAUAGAGUCUUCUGAGACUAGUCCCCAGUCUCGAUGUUGAGACCUUUGCGUUAGUGGAUGCGGAACAACCUGCCGUUGUUUGUUAGACGCAAGGACAGGAGCAAGCUGUUCAGGCCUAUGUUCAGCAGGCUAUUCGAGGAAUAGCGCAUGUUCGGAGCGGCCCCCUCCAAGCGACACAUAUUCCCACUCCACAGUUACCUUCUUCGACUUUCCAAACACCAAAGGCAGGACUUACCUCUACACGUCAACAGCCGUUGACCUCUCUUCGGUCAAGAAUCCAUCUUCUUCCGAUCCCAACGUUGAGCGUUCGUAACAAAAGAGCUUUACCAACGUUCAUUAAAUCAGAAAUCCCCUACAUCACACACUAGACUCUCCCGGACAUGUAUCAACUUAGUUAGUUCUCUCAUUUUACAUUUGACAGCUGAGUCUAAACACCUGACCCAAUGCCCUUAUGUAUGACUGUACAAUGAUACAUAUGUACACGUAUCAAGAGACCGAAGAAAUAAAAUCCCUUUAAAGAGACC